UGGGUACUUCUCCAAAUCAUAUAUUGUGAAAUAUCACCAAUGAUGAGUGCGAGUAUUCGGUUUGUUAAGUGAUCCUUCAUAUAGUUCACUAGAAUGCCGAUCAAAAGAAAUGGAGUGCAAGUCUCACCUUUCUUGUAUCGGAUAUGCUGUUCUUUGCGUUCCAUGUCAUGGCGACUCCUAAUUUGAUGUUCAGACUCAUCGAAUUUUAUUUUCUCCAUUAAAACUCUAGUCCAGAGAUAUAAAAAGAAAUAAAAAGCAUGGAGGAACACCCAUUG
rnacentral:lncRNA from 1 species